rnacentral:rRNA from 1 species
CAGUCGCCGCGGUAAUACGUAGGUGGCAAGCGUUGUCCGGAAUUAUUGGGCGUAAAGGGCUCGCAGGCGGUUUCUUAAGUCUGAUGUGAAAUCCCCGGGCUCAACCUGGGAAUGGCAGUGGAUACUGGCAAGCUAGAGUGUGUCAGAGGAUGGUGGAAUUCCCGGUGUAGCGGUGAAAUGCGUAGAGAUCGGGAGGAACAUCUGUGGCGAAGGCGACUAUCUGGGCCAACACUGACACUGAGGCACAAAAUCGUGGGGAGCAAACAGGAUUAGAUACCCCAGUAGUCCCUGUCUCUUAUAC